ACGUAGGGUGCAAGCGUUAAUCGGAAUUACUGGGCGUAAAGCGUGCGCAGGCGGCUUUGCAAGACAGAUGUGAAAUCCCCGGGCUUAACCUGGGAACUGCAUUUGUGACUGCAUGGCUGGAGUGCGGCAGAGGGGGAUGGAAUUCCGCGUGUAGCAGUGAAAUGCGUAGAGAUCGGGAGGAACAUCCGUGGCGAAGGCGGCCAUCUGGACCAGCACUGACACUGAGGCACGAAAGCGUGGGGAGCAAACAGGA
rnacentral:rRNA from 1 species